rnacentral:rRNA from 1 species
UGGGGAAUCUUGCACAAUGCGCGAAAGCGUGAUGCAGCAACGCCGCGUGGGGGAAGAAGGCCUUCGGGUUGUAAACCCCUUUCAGUUGGGACGAAGCUUCGCCGGUGAAUAGCCGGCCGGAGUGACGGUACCUUCAGAAGAAGCCCCGGCUAACUACGUGCCAGCAGCCGCGGUAAUACGUAGGGGGCAAGCGUUGUCCGGAAUCAUUGGGCGUAAAGCACGUGUAGGCGGUUCAGUAAGUCUGCUGUGAAAGUCCAGGGCUCAACCCUGGGAUGCCGGUGGAUACUGCUGGACUAGAGUGCGGAAGAGGCGAGUGGAAUUCCCGGUGUAGCGGUGAAAUGCGCAGAUAUCGGGAGGAACACCAAUUGCGAAGGCAGCUCGCUGGGACGUUACUGACGCUGAGACGCGAAAGCGUGGGGAGCAAACAGG